rnacentral:lncRNA from 1 species
NNNNNNNNNNNNNNNNNNNNNNNNNNNNNNNNNNNNNNNNNNNNNNNNNNNNNNNNNNNNNNNNNUGGGACGCGCGGGCGCGGGGCCCCGGGGCUCGGCGCGCGUCACAGUGGUGCGCGCUUCCGUCUGGCGCGGCCCCCGGGCGGCCCAGGCUGGGUCCUGAGCGUCCCGAGCGCGUUCCGGAAAGGUGACUCAGCGACGCGCUCCAGGGUCGAGAAACUCCGCAAAACUAAGAACAAGUGAAGGCUGCGGUCGAAGCCUGGAUUAGGCGCCUGGAAAACGCGGGACGCGGGGCGGUGCUCCCCGAGAGCUCAGCCUUGGAGGGAGGUAGCUGCGGAGAAGGCCAGGGCAGCCUCCCCUGUCCCCCGCUCGGGAGAGCAAUCAGGCCCGAAGAGCCGCCGCUUUAAACCUUGGAGUCUGGUGGGAAACUGAGGCACAGGGAAGGGAAGACCUGGCCGUGCAGGAGUGCGUGAGUGAAAAAGCAAUAAUCGACAGUGCCUGGCACCAGCUCUCUGGAAACUUGGAGCCAAGGCCGCCAGAUGGCAAGUGACUGGCUUUUAUUAGGAUAGGAUUCCCGCCAUCCCACCGGUCCCCGAAGUAGUCUCCACCCACCCUCCCCAGAGGUUUCAGCUCCCAAGCCGAAUUCCAGAGCCUCCAGGCCUCUCUUGACCUUGACUCCUUGCUCCCCAGGAGGCUGUCAGAGCAGGGAAGGGAGGUGACCGGCCUGCCAACUGCUCUGCAGACUCGUGUUCUCCCACAGCCCCAGGGAGUGUUCGGAGUUUCUGUUUCUGCGGUGGCUCAUCGAUUCUGGGCGUGUGGUGCGGUCCGCUUCGCUCUGCCUUCUGCAUGGCCUCCUCGUCGUCCUGGGUUUCCUUGCUGCGGCUUAUCUGGGCUCUGCCUUCCUCCCUCACCUGCAGGCCUGCCCAUUCUAGCUGUUGAUUCUAGCUUAGCCUCCUGGAGCCUCCUCCAGGGAGCAGCCCUCGGGCCACCAGCAGUCCACUCACUUCUGAUGCCUGCCCAGCCGCUGAAGGCCAUCCUAGGUCACAAGUCUCAGAUGGAUCAGCGGAGCUGCACUGCCCCACCUGCUCAACCUCUGGAGACCACCUGGGUUGUUUGGCUCAGGACCCUUCCUUCGUUCCAAAGUCAGCAGCACGGGACUUCAGAUCUGUCUGACUUUUCCUUCCCCCGUUGUCUCUCUGAUUUUCUUACCUCCCUCUUCCUCUUAGGAACCCUUGAUUGCACUGGCCCCACACAGAUAAUCCAGGGUAAUCUCACCCUUCUAGAGCUUUAAUGUAGGGCUUCCUAAACCUCCUCAAAGUCCCCUUUGCCAUAUAAGGUCACCAAUUCACUGGUGCCAGGGAUUAUGACCUGGACAUUUGAGGGGCUGUUACUCUGCCGGCCACGGAUAGAGAAAUGAAGGCUAGAAACUGUGUCCUUUCUUGGCUGCAGAACUUUAUUUCAUUUUAUUCAAGAUUUUAUUUAUUUGAGAUAGAGAGCAUACAAGUGGGGGCAGGGCAGAGGGAGAGGCAGAAGCAGUUUCCCCGCUGAGCAGGGCCUCCAUCCACCCAGGCAUCUGGGCCACAGAACUUUCUGACCUUCCCCACCUCCCGAGCCCUACCAAGUGAAUGCAAACCGGAGCUUGCUUUCCCCCAAAUUAGCACCUGUCAUGUGGAGGUGAAAAUAUUUUUGCUAGCAUCAACACGUGAUUCUGUCGACUUUGUGGGUAGAGGUCCCUACGGGGAAAAAAA